GGUGCGCAGAGGCCGGGUCCCAGCUCCCCUGCCCUGGGGUAGGCUGCAGGAAAGGACCCCUGUGAGAUACAGCAGGUCCCUCCACGCCGUCCCCAAAAGUACGAGAUCCUGCUUUUUCACCGCUGCAUACUAUUCCACGGCGUAGAUGUACCACAGCUUUUUUUAUCCGCUCGUCUACAGAUGGGCACGUCCGUUUCCUGUCCCCGGAACCCAUCCAGGGCCCCGCAGAACAGCCGAUCCUCACGUCAUCUCGGCUGUGAAAGCGUCUCAGGCUCUCUUGGUUUCCCGUCACCUGCAGAGUUUGGAAAAGGGCUGCUCGGGGAUUGGGUAGAACGUUCCUCAGCUGGGAUUUGUCCGAUGCUUCUCUCCUGUUUAGACCGGGGCUGUAGGUGUUUGGAAGAAACAAAGACGGUGCAGGUUGUCUCAACGGACGGACGCGUGGUUCUCCUCGGACAGACGGAUCCGCCUGUCUCUGGUGACGGUCAUCGCCCCACAGUGGCUUUCGUCGCCCGGGUCUUUCGAUUUCCUGGGUCCCUUCUCGCCGGCCUCUUCCCAGCGUCCAGAUGCCCGGGACAGUGGAAGGGAGACAGAGAGAGAGAGAAACACGGAUGUGACAGAGACACGGACACGUUGCCUCCCGCCCAGGCCCUGGCCUGGGGCUGGGGAAGAUCCAGUCUGCAACCCACGUAGAUGCCCUUGGCUGGAAUCGAACCCGGGACCCUUCAGUCCACGGGCCGACGCUCUAACCACUGAGCCAAACCGGCCAGGACGCUCAUCAUUUUUUUAUUUUUAUUUUUUAACUCAGGUUUUCUGUUCAACAGCCGUCAUGACUCGUUGGCAGUGAUCGGGCCUGCAGCAGUUUUCUUAAAAUAUUAAAGACAGAGAGGAUUUUCCCCUCUAUGUUUCAUCGCUUUCUUUGUUUUUGGUGGAUUUUAAGGACGGACAAAGUGGCCAUGCUUCUCCCGGGGACGGCGUCUUUGAAACCGAGAUCCUCUGGAUCGUGACAAACGUGCGAACUUCAAAAUAAACGCAGACAGCGGCGGCGACUGUCCUUCCUGAUGGCUCUGAAGUAUCCUCGGAGCGAAUAAUCGACUAAAGAUUAAUAGACGUUCUGCCCAGAUUCCUUCGCUCUGCCUCUCUGGACGUCUCUAGGCAAGUAUUUCCUUUCCCUCGCAUGAAAGGGGAUGGUAUCCAGCAGUUCAAGGUUGUCUGUAGAUAUUUGUCGCUGUUCGGAAAAAAAUAUCUAGAGUAUUGAGACCUUCAGUCGAUUGGAAGGUGACCUUGGGCCCCUGGGAAACCAGACUUGGCCAUUGACUCAGUCGAUGAGAAAGGAGUGAGGGGCCAGAGGGUCUGGCCAAAGGUCCAGAUGACAUGAGGAAAUAUGAGUGUGACCAGGCUCAGAAAGUUAAGCCUUAAACGUGCAUAUCAAGUAGACAGCAUUUUUAAAUAAUAUCUUUUUAUUGAUUUGAGA